rfam:Ipomoea nil DNA, scaffold: scaffold3030, cultivar: Tokyo-kokei standard.
GACUUCAUGGCGCAAUGGAUAAGGCGCUUGUCUACGAAACCAGAGAUUCUAAGUUCGAUCCCUAGUGAAGUCG